GUCUAUAUGGCAAAUGUGAGAUGCAGUGUACGGAACAUCAAUAUUCUAGUAUGAGAAGUUAACGAUUUAAGUCCUUCUUAAAUGAGGCCAUUUACCCAUAGAGGGUGCCAGGCCCGUAUAACGUUAAUGAUUACUAGAUGGUGUUUCCAAAGAGUCGUGUUGCUUGAUAGUGCAGCACUAAGUGGGUGGUAAACUCCAUCUAAAACUAAAUAUAACCAUGAGACCGAUAGUAAACAAGUACCGUGAGGGAAAGUUGAAAAGAACUCUGAAUAGAGAGUUAAAUAGUACGUGAAACUGCUUAGAGGUUAAGCCCGAUGAACCUGAAUAUCCGUUAUGGAAAAUUCAUCAUUAGAAUUGUAAUAUUUUAAACAAUAUUAUAAUAAUAGUGUGCAUUUUUUCCAUAUAAGGACAUUGUAAUCUAUUAGCAUAAAUAUUUAUCAUAAAAUUAUGUCUGAUUGCUUAUUUGAAUUAUAUGCUUGCAUUUUAACAUAAAAUAAAAGAUAUAAAUUUGAUAAAGUGCUGAUAGAUUUAUAUGAUUACAGUGCGUUAAUUUUUCGGAAUUAUAUAAUGGCAUAAUUAUCAUUGAUAUUUGUGUUUAUUAUAUGCAUUUGUAUGAUUAACAAUGCGAAAGAUUCAGGAUACCUUCGGGACCCGU
rnacentral:rRNA from 1 species